rnacentral:rRNA from 1 species
GAUCAUGGCUCAGGAUGAACGCUAGCGACAGGCUUAACACAUGCAAGUCGAGGGGCAUCAUGAAGUAGCAAUACCUUGAUGGCGACCGGCGCACGGGUGAGUAACGCGUAUGCAACCUGCCCGAUACCGGGGUAUAGCCCAUGGAAACGUGGAUUAACACCCCAUAGUACUUUUAUCCUGCAUGGGAUGUGAGUUAAAUGUUCAAGGUAUCGGAUGGGCAUGCGUCCUA